rnacentral:lncRNA from 1 species
CGUCUAAUCAAGGUUUAGUGAGCUAAACUCACCGGAUUAGUGAGCCGAGCGGACCAAAACGACGAGGGCAACGCGAGGAUCGACUUUCCUCAAAGCGGGCCGAGCAUCCGGGCUCGGGAAGGCGGACAAAACGGCCCACGAAGGGGCUGCCAUACCCAUUUUCUUGGCUGCUGUCCACUGCGAUUUGAGGCCGAGGAAGGGCGGAUCCGGGGCCGGCUUAGGUCGGAAACGAGCGGAGGAGCUGCGGCGGUGCUGCACGGCCAACGGCGGGGCCUCACGGUGGCGGAGACGAGCUCCGGCAGCUCUUGCGCG